AUACACCUGUUCUCUUGCUAUCACCGAAGUUAAGCAAUGUUGAGCCUGGUUAGUAACUAGAUGGGUGAGCACUUGGGAACACCAGAUGCUGUGA